CCUACGGGUGGCAGCAGUGGGGAAUAUUGGACAAUGGGGGCAACCCUGAUCCAGCCAUGCCGCGUGUGUGAAGAAGGCCCUCGGGUUGUAAAGCACUUUCAGUGAGGAAGAACGCCUGGUGGUUAAUACCCAGCAGGAAAGACAUCACUCACAGAAGAAGCACCGGCUAACUCCGUGCCAGCAGCCGCGGUAAUACGGAGGGUGCGAGCGUUAAUCGGAAUUACUGGGCGUAAAGCGCGCGUAGGUGGCUUGAUAAGCCGGUUGUGAAAGCCCCGGGCUCAACCUGGGAACGGCAUCCGGAACUGUCAAGCUAGAGUGCAGGAGAGGAAGGUAGAAUUCCCGGUGUAGCGGUGAAAUGCGUAGAGAUCGGGAGGAAUACCAGUGGCGAAGGCGGCCUUCUGGACCGACACUGACACUGAGGUGCGAAAGCGUGGGGAGCAAACAGGAUUAGAUACCCCUGUAGUC
rnacentral:rRNA from 1 species